UACGUAGGGUGCGAGCGUUGUCCGGAAUUAUUGGGCGUAAAGAGCUCGUAGGCGGUGUGUCACGUCGGCCGUGAAAACCUGCAGCUUAACUGUGGGCGUGCGGUCGAUACGGGCAUCACUGGAGUUCGGCAGGGGAGACUGGAAUUCCUGGUGUAGCGGUGAAAUGCGCAGAUAUCAGGAGGAACACCGGUGGCGAAGGCGGGUCUCUGGGUAGUAACUGACGCUGAGGAACGAAAGCGUGGGUAGCGAACAGG
rnacentral:rRNA from 1 species